AGCAGCCGCGGUAAUUCCAGCUCCAAUAGCGUAUAUUAAAGUUGUUGCAGUUAAAAAGCUCGUAGUUGAAUUUCGGGGUCAGUAGGUCGGUCGUGCCACUGGUAUGAACUGGUUUCACUGAUUCCUCCCUCUUGUAGAACCGUGAUGCCAUUAAUUUGGUGUUGCGGGGAAACAGGACUGUUACUUUGAAAAAAUUAGAGUGUUUAAAGCAAGCUAACGCUUGAAUACAUUAGCAUGGAAUAAUGAAAUAGGACGUCGAUCUUAUUUUGUUGGUUUCUAGGGUUGACGUAAUGAUUAAUAGGGAUAGUUGGGGGCAUUAGUAUUCAAUUGUCAGAGGUGAAAUUCUUGGAUUUAUUGAAGACUAACUACUGCGAAAGCAUUUGCCAAGGAUGUUUUCAUUAAUCAAGAACGAAAGUUAGGGGAUCGAAGACGAUCAGAUACCGUCGUAGUCUUAACCAUAAACUAUGCCGACUAGGGAUCGGAUGAUGUUAAUUUUUAAUGACUCAUUCGGCGCCUUACG
rnacentral:rRNA from 1 species